AAGAGGAUGAACUUCCUUCUACAAUUAUGGUUCACAGUGUCGAUAUGAAUUUGCUUCCUUGUCUUGUUAAGGUACAUUGGACAUUUAGUUUUACCAAUAGUAAAAUGUUCUCUUUUUUGUCGAAGAAAAUGAAACUCUUAUUGUUAUCAAAUAUGUGUAAAGCUAAUGAAUUCUCAAGGUUGAUUAGAUGUUUGGGUAGUUAAACAUCACUAGAAAUAUGUGAUCCUUUCCCUUUUUUAUUUUUCCUUUGGUUUGGAUUUCAGGAAGGUGAUUGCAUAAUCCACCGAGUUGGGAAAAAGGGUAAAAUCAGUUAUGGGUGGCUAUAUGUAGGAAUGCAUGGAUACAUUGAUAGGAAAAUCUCAUUAUUUUGUUGGUCUUUUAUCUUGAACACUUGUAAACAUGUUCUUUAUGAGGAAUAUUUCUGUAGUUUCAUUAUAGACAUUCCGUUCCUACUAUUGGAUUGCUUUUUACAGCCGAGACUACCAUCUUGGAUUUUAUGAAAAUUUUAAAUUUUUGGUUUUAUUUCAAAAUUUUACAUUUCUAUUUUUUUUUAAAUAGAACCUACUGGGCACAAUAACAAAAAUAGUGCAAACAUGGAUGGAGAAGGUCAUCUGACAAGUUUGUUAGAACAUAGACCAAAAAAGGCCUUUAUUUGUGUCUGCCUCUUUGAGCACCAAACAGUCUAUUGUGCCCUUUUAGCAAUGGUGACGCCCAUAGAGGGCACAUAUAUAAACUUAGUUGCUGCACUGUUGCUAUUGGUCUAUGAGCACAAAUGUUGGUGCUUUUUGGCCUCAAAGGGCACAUAUAAUUUAUUGUGUGUAGUGCUCAUUUUUUUUGUAGUAUAAAACGUUGACCGCUAUUUGAAUUUGCAAUUGGCAGAGAUCCAACCGUUGGAUCGUAAUGAAAUUUUAGUAUGUUAUUCUAAAAGCAUAAUGUGGAUCUUUGAAAGUUACGGAUCAUAAAUCAAAGAGCGGAUCUUCCGGAUCGAGUUACGUAGGAUUGUGGACCCUAC
rnacentral:lncRNA from 1 species